CUGCCCUACGACAUAUUCUUAACGGUCGCGGUAUUCUAACCGUGGAAAGGUAGCGUAAUCACUUGUCUUCUAAAUAAAGACCAGCAUGAACGGAUAAAUGAGGACAAACCUGUCUCCUGCGACAAAUCAGCGAAACUGAUCUUCCAGUACAAAAGCUGGAAUAAACUCCUAAGACGAGAAGACCCUGUGGAGCUUACACUCACAAGAUCAACAAGGCAAACCACAAAACCAACAAUUGACCCUGCGUUUUAAGUUGGGGCGACUUCGGAAAAAAACAGAACUUCCGAGAACGGGGCCACCAACCCCUGCUAAGGAAUACAACCCAAAGCAUCAACAUAUAAAAGACCCAGUCAAAUUGAUUAACGAACCAAGUUACCCCAGGGAUAACAGCGCUAUCUUCUUCAAGAGUCCAUAUCGACAAGAAGGUUUACGACCUCGAUGUUGGAUCAGGACACCCAAAUGGUGCAGCAGCUAUUAAAGGUUCGUUUGUUCAACGAUUAACAGUCCUACGUG
rnacentral:rRNA from 1 species